CAGUAGCCGCGGUAAUACAGAGGGUGCGAGCGUUAAUCGGAUUUACUGGGCGUAAAGCGUGCGUAGGCGGCUUCUUAAGUCGGAUGUGAAAUCCCUUAGCUUAACUUAGGAAUUGCAUUCGAUACUGGGAAGCUAGAGUAUGGGAGAGGAUGGUAGAAUUCCAGGUGUAGCGGUGAAAUGCGUAGAGAUCUGGAGGAAUACCGAUGGCGAAGGCAGCCAUCUGGCCUAAUACUGACGCUGAGGUACGAAAGCAUGGGGAGCAAACAGGAUUAGAUACCCGCGUAGUCCCUGUCUCUUAUAC
rnacentral:rRNA from 1 species